UACGGGGGAUGCAAGCGUUAUCCGGAAUCAUUGGGCGUAAAGCGCCUGUAGGUUGUUUAAUAAGUCUGUUGUUAAAGACUAGGGCUUAACCCUAGAAAAGCAAUGGAAACUACUAGACUUGAGUAUGGCAGGGGUAGAGGGAAUUUCUAGUGUAGCGGUGAAAUGCGUAGAUAUUAGAAAGAACACCAGUGGCGAAAGCGCUCUACUGGACCAUUACUGACACUCAGAGGCGAAAGCUAGGGUAGCAAAAGGGAUUAGAUACCCCUGUAGUCCUAGCCGUAAACGAUGGAUACUAGAUGUUGCAUUUAAUUUGCAGUGUCGUAGCUAACGCGUUAAGUAUCCCGCCUGGGGAGUACGCUCGCAAGGGUG
rnacentral:rRNA from 1 species